rnacentral:tRNA from 1 species
GCUGCUAUAGCUCAGAUGGUAGAGCACGUCAUUGGUAAUGACGAGGUCUCGGGUUCAAGUCCCGAUAGCAGCU